rnacentral:rRNA from 1 species
AUGAGCGGUCUGGGGGGUGUGAUUGCUGGUGCCGUGGGGAAACAAAUCGUCAGCAAGCUUGGUGAAUAUGCUGCGUCGGAGAUCACUCUGCAGUGGAGGUACAGGGAGGACGCGUUAGACUUGCAGGAGAAGAUGAAAGAUCUCGAGGCCUUGUUGCUUGAUGCCGACGACAAGUCGCGUCAAGUAGGAGAAGGUGCAAGAGUAUUUCAGCGGUGGCUUACAAAAUUUAAGCGCGUCGCCUAUGACGUCGAGGAUGUGCUUGAUGAGUUGGAUGCUAACGAGCUCAUCAAGAAGAGCCAAUCCAAGUUCAACUUAUGGUUUUCCAGAAACAAUCAACUCCUGCAGCGAAUAAUCAUGCCCCACAAGAUGAAGAACGUGAUGAAGAAAAUAGACGAAAUUGAAAAGGAGGGGAGAACGAAGCUCAACCUUGUGCGUCAAGAAGCCCGGGGAGAAGAGAGCAGAAACAAUGAAACUUUUGUAGCCAACUAUGGUGAUGGCACGAAAACUGGAAUGGUGGGGAGGGAUAUCGAGAAGGAGAAGAUAAUCAGCCUGCUACUGACAAGUGAAGCUAACCAGGAUAUCUCCAUCAUUCCAGUUGUUGGCCUUGGUGGCAUAGGUAAGACAACAUUGGUUGAAUCAGUUUUUGCAGACAAGAGGGUCAGUAUCUUUGACGUCUCAAUCUGGUUUAAUGUGUCCAAGCAGUUUGAUUUGAACAAAAUUGGGAGUGCAAUCCUGAAAAGAAUAAUGAAUAACACUGUCAACCUUGACAACUGCGAUUUGCAGUUUUAUCUGAAAAAAGAACUUGCUACUAGAAGAUACUUUAUUGUUCUGGAUGAUCUCUGGGAGGAAGAUGGAAAUAAACUUGAAAAGUUGAAGCAGAUGUUACAGCAUGGCUGCAAGGGUAGCCGUAUUAUAGUAACUACCCGAAACCUACGAGUAGUGCAACAAUUGCGCACUGGUUUCCUUGCAAAUGAGAGCAAAAUUGUCCCAGUUCACGAGUCUGACAUAAUAAAUUUGGGUGUUUUAGAACCUGGCGACUGUUGGGAAUUAAUGAAGCAAAGGGCAUUUGGGCCUGAUGAUCACCACAGUGUCUUGGAAGAAAUUGGAAAGCAGAUUGCGGGGAAGUGUGGGGGCUUACCUCUCGUGGCGAAUGCUCUUGGGCAUGUAAUGUCAGAGCAAAGGACCGUGGGGGCAUGGGAAGAUAUAAGAGACACCAAGGUCGAUCUGGGUUUGAAAGAAGUACAUCAGAAAGAAACAUUAGAGAGGCUAUUGCUGAGCUAUACCUACAUGAAACUAGAAUUCAAAAUGUGUUUCACGUACUUGGCAGCCUUCCCCAAGGGCUUUGUCAUGGAAAUCAAUCGCUUAAUCCAGCAAUGGAAUGCUCUUGGAUACAUUAAUUCAAGGCACGAUGGUCACAGGUGCAUCAAUUACCUUCUGGGGAUGUCCUUUCUUCAGACUCCGGUGUCUGCUUUGGUUAAUCCAAGUCUGUUGCAUUUCAAUGCUCCCUCAGAACUCGUCAUGCAUGAUUUGGUGCAUGAUCUUGCAUCAAUAAUUGUUACUGAUGAAUUCAUUGAUCUAGAUGCUACCAAAAGCACCACUUGGAACAUUGCUCGUUACUGCCGACAUGCACAGUUAACCAACUUCAAGAAUGAUCUCGAGGUUCUGAAAUAUAUUCCACACAAGCUUAGAUCCCUCCACUUUAGGGAUUUGGGGGGACUGCAACUCCCGAAAAAGGCUUUUUCUCGGUCCAAGUACAUACGUGUCUUGGACCUAAGUGGACAUUCAGCUGAAGGUCAAUCUGCUCCAAGUAGCGUGUUGCUACCAUCUUCCAUUAAUCAAUUGAAGCUAAUUAGGUAUCUUGAUGCAACACGCUUGACAAUAACAUCACUUCCCAAGUAUUUUCAUGCACUUCAAAACAUGGAAACUCUUAUUCUGUCCAAUUCCAAGCUUGAAAUCUUGCCUGACCAUGUUUGUCGCCUCAGCAAACUUUGCUAUUUGGAUCUAUCUGGUAGUAGUAGCCUCAGUAAGCUACCUGCAUCACUAGGGGAGCUCUCUCAACUCUUUUUCCUCAAUCUAUCCGGGUGUUGUACACUCCAAGAGUUGCCUGAAUCAAUCUGUGAGCUUGCAUACUUACACCACCUAGACAUGUCACAUUGUUGUGCUCUUCAAAGGAUGCCUGACAAAUUUGGUAGCCUUCCUAAACUCUCAUUCUUAAACUUGUCAGGUUGCUCAAGGCUCACCAAACUACCUGACAAUGUAAGCUUUCCGUGUUUAGAGCAUCUGAACCUAUCAAGUUGCCAUGAGCUAGAAUACCUGCCAAUUGAUUUCAGCCACCUUCAGAAACUUGAGUUCAUGAACCUGUCUGGUUGCUACAAGAUUUCAAUGCUGCCAGGAUCAUUUUGCCAACUUAAUCAUUUGAAAUACCUAGAUCGUUCAGAUUGCCAUAACCUCGAACAACUCCCUGAAUGUUUUGGUCACCUCAUCGAGCUUGAAUAUUUGAACCUAACAAGCUGUCCUAAACUCCGACAAUUGCCAGAGUCACUAUGCAAGUUGUUUAAGCUGAGGUGUCUCUAUUUGUCAUAUUGUCUGAGGCUCAAGGAGCUCCCCUCCUCAUUUGGCGACCUAAAGCUUCAAAUACUUCACAUGAAUGGCCUUAUACUUAUGGAUGACUGCCCUUAUAGCAUUGGUGACAUGACUAGUCUCACCGAGUUUGUGAUUGAUUAUGCAACUUUUGAUUUUCUUGAAAAGAUUGAAGCCAUUCGAAAGCGUCUAAAUUUUGUGGGCACAGUAGGGCAUUAUGUACAUGAGAUAGAGAGUAGAGGAUGCAGCAGUAUAGUGGAUCUUGUUGGACUGACUUGUUCAGAGCUGAUACUUAAAGACCUUCAGAAUGUCAGGCAUCCAGAAGAUGCAGACAAAGUCAAACUGCGUGAUAAAUCAAAUAUUCGAGUCCUAAAACUUCACUUCAGAAAUGAAGGAGGUAAAUCUGUGCUGGACAGGCUCGUACCUCCUCGGACUCUUGAUAACUUUUGGCUAUGUGGGUAUAUGAGCAAGGAAUUCCCUAACUGGAUGCUUCACAUCUCGUCCUACAUCCCUUUUCUCAGUGAACUAACUCUGAAUGGUUUGGAAGCAUGUGAUUUUCUUCCUCCAUUAGGGGCACUACCAAAUUUAAGAAGGUUGUUUCUUCUGAACAUUCCCAACAUUAGAAAAAUUGGUAAGGAAUUCUAUGGAGAGAGCGGAUCUUGUAUGAAACUAAGAGUACUGCUAUUGGCGUCGAUGAAGAAUUUGGUGGAAUGGUGGACAACAGAGUCAUGUAAAGAAAACGAAGAGUUUUUAAUACCUAAUUUGCAUCAUUUGAAUGUAACAGACUGCCCAAAGUUGAAGUUCCUACCAUAUCCCCCAAGAAGUAUGAAGUGGUUUUUGAGCAACAGCGAGCCAGUUUUGCCAGAGCGAGGAUUUGGAAAGCUCUCAUCUUCCAUUCAUCCUUCUGAGAUGGCUCUAAAGAGUUGUAGUUACUCUCAAGACAAGUGGGAUGGACUUCAACACUUUCCUACCCUUGAGAUAUUUCAGGUAAAAUCUAUCAUUGGCUUGAAGACUUUGCCAGAGGUCAUACAAUGCUUCACCUCUCUCACUGAACUAAAUUUAGUAUCAUUGAAUGAGCUGGAGACACUCCCGGAAUGGUUGGGCCACCUCGGCUCUCUAGAAGAAAUUGGAAUCAGUGGUUGCCCCAACCUGACAUCUUUGCCAGAAAGCAUGAAGAACCUCACAGCUCUUAGAAAACUAAAGUUGAUAGGGUGCAAAGGCCUGAAGAUAUUACCAGGAUCGUUGGGACAGUUGACUUCUCUAGAAGAAAUUGAAAUCGGCGAUUGCCCCAACCUGUCAUCUUUGCCUGAAAGCCUGAAGAACCUCAACGCUCUUAGAAAAUUGACGUUGACAGAGUGCAAAGGCCUGGAAACAUUACCGGGAUCCUUGGGACAGAUGACUUCUCUAGAAGAAAUUUCAAUUGGAGACUGCCGCAACCUGACAUAUUUACCUGAAAGCAUGAAGAACCUCACCGCCCUUAAAAAACUGAGGUUGGAAAUGUGCAAAGGCAUGGGGACAUUACCAGGAUGGUUGGGACAAUUGACUUCUCUAGAAGAAAUUUUAAUCAGCAUUUGCCCCAACCUGACAUGUUUGCCUGAAAGCAUACGGAGUCUCUCUGCUUUGAAGCUACUCAGAAUUGUUGAAUGUCCAGGUCUGAUUGCGAGCUGCCAAGGGGAGGAUGCCGGCAAGAUUUGUCACAUCCCAACCGUCGAAUACAGCUGA